rnacentral:rRNA from 1 species
AUAACUGUCAACCAUGUGGCAGAUUGCAAAAAGUACCGCACCUCCCAAACGAACCCCCUCCUUCAAUCCGAUUUUCUCCUCCCCGCACACGAGGUUGCGUGCUCUCCCCGGUUUUCUGGGUCGCUGCACCCGCACUAUCAGUAGUUUAAAAAAAGGCAAAACACAGGCCUUACAAGGAAAUUGGGGCCUCCUAGGAUCGCAAUUCCUGACGCUUCAGGCGCUAAAAGGUAAUCUUUAUGUCUCGCUUAUAACGAGACGUAGGGAAGGCUC